rnacentral:rRNA from 1 species
UACGUAGGGUGCGAGCGUUAAUCGGAUUUACUGGGCGUAAAGCGUGCGCAGGCGGCCCGUUAAGACAGGUGUGAAAUCCCUGGGCUCAACCUAGGAAUUGCGCUUGUGACUGGCGGGCUCGAGUACGGUAGAGGGGGGUGGAAUUCCUGGUGUAGCAGUGAAAUGCGUAGAGAUCAGGAGGAACACCGGUGGCGAAGGCAGCCCCCUGGGCCUGUACUGACGCUCAUGCACGAAAGCGUGGGGAGCAAACAGG